rnacentral:rRNA from 1 species
GAUGAACGCUGGCGGCGUGCCUAAUACAUGCAAGUCGAGCGAACAGAUAAGGAGCUUGCUCCUUUGACGUUAGCGGCGGACGGGUGAGUAACACGUGGGUAACCUACCUAUAAGACUGGGAUAACUUCGGGAAACCGGAGCUAAUACCGGAUAACAUUUGGAACCGCAUGGUUCUAAAGUGAAAGAUGGUUUUGCUAUCACUUAUAGAUGGACCCGCGCCGUAUUAGCUAGUUGGUAAGGUAACGGCUUACCAAGGCGACGAUACGUAGCCGACCAGAGAGGGUGAACGGCCACAGUAGAACAGAGACGCGGUACAGACUGCUACGAGGGGCAGGUGUAGGGUAUUUUCCGAAAGGGGAGAGAGCCAACGGAGCAACGCGGCGUGGGUGAGGAAGGGUUUCGACUCGUAAAACUCUGUUAUUAGGGAAGAACAAAUGUGUAAGUAACUGUGCAGGUCUGGACGGUACAAAAUAAGAAAGCCACGGCUAAUUACUG